AUUGAACGCUGGCGGCAGGCCUAACACAUGCAAGUCGAGCGGAGCGGCGGACGGGUGAGUAAUGCCUAGGAAUCUGCCUGGUAGUGGGGGAUAACGUCCGGAAACGGGCGCUAAUACCGCAUACUAUCAGAUGAGCCUAGGUGGGAUUAGCUAGUUGGUGGGGUAAGGGCCUACCAUGUCGACGAGCCGUAACUGGUCUGAGAGGAUGAUCAGUCACACUGGAAUGUAGACACGGUCCAGACUCCUACGGUAGGCAGCAGUGGGGAAUAGUGGACAAUGGGCGAAAGCCUGAUCCAGCCAUGCCGCGUGUGUGAAGAAGGUCUUCGAAUUUUAAAGCACUUUAAGUUGGGAGGCGUUACCAACAGAAUAAGCACCGGCUAACUUCGUGCCAGCAGCCGCGGUAAUAC
rnacentral:rRNA from 1 species